rnacentral:tRNA from 1 species
GGUCCCAUCGUCUAGUGGCCUAGGACACCGGCCUCUCACGUCGGUAACACGGGUUCGAGUCCCGUUGGGACCA